UCUUCAUACAGGAGCUGCAGUUGUUGCUGCCAUGGUUUCUCUAUAAACAUUGUAAAGACCCUUUCUGAGUACACUGUACAUUAAACCGUGGCGUGCGACGACUGCACAUCUUGGUUCCACGCCGGAUUUAUGAAGAUGGCAUAGGCUGUUAUUUUGCUUUCAUCCCAUCAGAUGUGUCAAGGCUCUGCUGUGGCUGAAGGGUACCUAACUUUGCCAUUCAACAUCAGUGUUUUCACCUUUCCCAAUCUCCGUUGGAUCAGUCGGGACUCAUCGCUUGAUACUUCCCAUAUCACCAUUGGUUAGGAAGACUCGUGUGUUGGGUGGACAGGUAUGGAGCAAGGCAUAUCAGAGAGAGACGAGGAAUAAUUGGUGCCAAGGUGCUAGUGUAACGAGGAAGAUGACGUUACCCGUUUCAAAGUAGAUUUGUUGAGAGGAGUCCAGGACAGGAGAGGAGACCCAAAGACAGGACAAGAUGCCCAGGACAGCAGAGGACAGGAGUGGAGCACCAACUACCAUUCAUUAAGAAGCUACAUAACACUGCCACUCCUGAGUACUAGCAUGUGCCAGCCCACUUAUGUACUAGGUUUUCGUCAAGCUGACAGAAGUUGUAAGUGUGUAAAUCAUUGAUGCUAGAACUGUUGUAUAAAUGCACAUGUAUUGUUAACAUGAAGUUGUCUAGCUACCGUGUUUACAUCGUUACUCAAAUGCAAAGUCGUGUUUUUCAUUGAGUUUGGUUUUUAGACUUCAGCUAUUCAGUAAUCGAAAUAGUGUAACAGAUUUUUUAGUGACAAAUUCUGAACAUAUGUUACUCAUGGCAGUGGCAGUGGCAGUGGCAGUUGAUAAAUGUUUUUAAUUGAUUGAUCAGUAACAAUAAGCCAGUUUUGCUUGGUAACCCCAUUUAUUAGUCAGGUCACAGGUUUCAGUCAUAGCUUUUAGUUGUUAUAAAACAUAUAAUUUCACAAAAUUGAAGCUCAAACUGCAUGGCAGCUGAAUGGUCAAUAACUUUAUUAUAUUUUGCGUAGUACAGUAGGGCCAGCAGCGUAUAACCAUACAUAGAUAAUAGCAACUCUGUACCUUAGGUAGUGAUGCACCGGCCGCGGAUGUGGGCACCGCCCCUACAUUAAGCAUUCAAUAUAGGGCUAGCACCAUCGUGUCAAUCACCAUCGCGCAGGCCGCGCGCUUCCUCCCUUUAGGAAUCAGGUUCAGAGGGUGGGUCAGGAUCGGUUUACGUUCGCGUGUGCCAGGGGGGUGAGACAACACCUUGGCUGGUCAGAGCAUGGGAAAUCACACCUCCCCCCUCCCAAGAGCGUGGGAGUUAGGGUUGGGGUGUCCGGCUCGCAGGUUUACCCUGGCACAAUCACAUCAUAUAUUUUUUAUUUUUUUAUUUUGCAUCUACUCGACUAUAAAUGCAAAA